rnacentral:rRNA from 1 species
CAGGGAAUCUUGCGCAAUGGGCGAAAGCCUGACGCAGCGACGCCGCGUGGGGGAAGAAGGCCUGCGGGUUGUAAACCCCUUUUCUCGGGGAAGAAGAUCUGACGGUACCCGAGGAAUAAGCCUCGGCUAACUACGUGCCAGCAGCCGCGGUAAUACGUAGGAGGCGAGCGUUGUCCGGAUUCACUGGGCGUAAAGGGAGAGCAGGUGGCUGAGUUCGUCCGUGGUGCAAGCUCCAGGCUCAACUUGGAGAGGUCUGCGGAUACUGCUCGGCUUGAGGGCGGUAGAGGAGCACGGAAUUCCUGGUGUAGUGGUGAAAUGCGUAGAUAUCAGGAGGAACACCGGUGGCGAAAGCGGUGCUCUGGGCCGUCCCUGACACUCAGGCUCGAAAGCGUGGGGAGCGAACCGG